rnacentral:rRNA from 1 species
AUUGAACGCUGGCGGCAGGCCUAACACAUGCAAGUCGAGCGGAUGAAGGGAGCUUGCUCCUGGAUUCAGCGGCGGACGGGUGAGUAAUGCCUAGGAAUCUGCCUGGUAUUGGGGGAUAACGUCCGGAAACGGGCGCUAAUACCGCAUACGUCCUGAGGGUGAAGGUGGGGGAUCUUCGGACCUCACGCUAUCAGAUGAGCCUAGGUCGGAUUAGCUAGUUGGUGGGGUAAAGGUCUACCAAGGCGACGAUCCGUAACUGGUCUGAGAGGAUGAUCAGUCACACUGGAACUGAGACACGGUCCAGACUCCUACGGGAGGCAGCAGUGGGGAAUAUUGGACAAUGGGCGAAAGCCUGGUCCAGCGAUGCCGCGUGUGUGAAGAAGGUCUUCGGAUUGUAAAGCACUUUAAGUUGGGAGGAAGGGCAGUAAGUUAAUACCUUGCUGUUUUGACGUUACCAACAGAAUAAGCACCGGCUAACUUCGUG